GCGGAGAUGGCCGAGAGGUUAAGGCGUUGUCUUCAGGUGGCAAUGUAGUAAUACGCGUGGGUUCGAACCCCACUUUCCGCA